GUCCGGCCACCAACACGCCGUCGACACCGUCGUCGUCGUUGUCGUUGUCGUCGUUGUCGUCGUCGUCGUCGUCGUCGCGCGAACAACGCUCCUUUCGUCACCUCUCGACCCGGCUUAUUGUUCACCGAUAUUAAUUUUAACGGCGCGUAACAGACGCGCUCACCGGACGAUGACACCGCGGAAACACGAGACGUACCUGCGAUGCAGCGCGGAGUUGCAAGACUGCGCGCUCUCGGAUCGCUCGCAAUAUCAUCUCGUUAUAUAUAGCAACCGACUUGAGCAGCCCGGUUAUUUUCUAAACGAAUGAACAAGAGAGAGCCUUAUUGUCACGCCAUUGUAAUUGUAAAAGAGAAAAAGUGAAAUAACACCGAAAAAAUUAUAUUCUUUAACGUAUAUUUGAGCGAAUAUCUCGGAUCGUCAAGUGUGUCCUUGUGGAUUUGAGCUGUAGAGGAGACGACAAAGUCGGCCUAUAGGCGCGUUUUGAUAAGGAACAGCAUCAUCCCUAUCUUAAGGGUCGGAAACGAGAGGACGUACGAAGGAAGAGGGCGGGAGAGACAGAGAGGAGGAGAGAAAAUGGCGGCCUGGAGGGUAAUCCGACACCAAAUCGAAGGAGACGCCAUCGCAAAGCGCGGCGCCGCCCCUUUAUCAUUGGGUCUUGGCUUCGACACGGUGUCAUCCUUGCGUAUAUAGUCUAUUUAUUGUUACACGAAAAAACAAGCUUUUUUCUAGAGAAUUAGGCUUUUGUAACUUGAAAAUUUACAGGGAAAGAUAUAAACAUUAAAUUGUCGCUAAAAAUAUUGUCUUUGAAUUUAUAAAAAAAAAACAAUUAAUCUCUUAACUCUUUUCUCAUAAUUUACUUCGCCUCGCAAAUAACUUAUAGAUAUUUUUGGUAAGAUAUAAAUAAAAUUUUUUAUUUAUAUCUUUUACGCAUUUAAAAUCACACUUUUGCAUUAUUUAUUUUUAUUGUAUUUUAAAUCAAGUUCAAAAUGAGUUGCUCUGUAACUGCUUCUUUGAAUUCUGAUUUCUUCGAGAGCGUGUUAUGCUACGUCUGCAUCGUAGGAUAUGUACGAAUGGCAAUUAGCCGAAAAAGGCGGGGACAAUUCAAAGGAUUGGCAAGGCGUAGCGAAGAAAGAUGUCUUCGGUCAUCUCCUGGUUGCAUCGGCUCUCCUUGAUACAUAACGCCUGUCUGCCAGACCUCGCUAUUUUCAACCACCCGAUUUCCGUCACACGAGAAACACUAAAUUUAUAACACUCGUCGUAAUUUUUUUUUCACAUUAAAAUAAACCUCGUGAGCUAUGAUUCACCUAUAAUAGUGAAUAAUAAUUAAUUAAAAC